GGAGGAAAAGAAACCAACAGGGAUUGCCCCAGUAACGGCGAGUGAAGCGGCAAGAGCUCAAAUUUGAAAGCUGGCUCCUUCGGGGUCCGCAUUGUAAUUUGCAGAGGAUGCUUCGGGAGCGGUCCCCAUCUAAGUGCCCUGGAACGGGACGUCAUAGAGGGUGAGAAUCCCGUAUGGGAUGGGGUGUCCGCGCCCGUGUGAAGCUCCUUCGACGAGUCGAGUUGUUUGGGAAUGCAGCUCUAAAUGGGUGGUAAAUUUCAUCUAAAGCUAAAUAUUGGCCGGAGACCGAUAGCGCACAAGUAGAGUGAUCGAAAGAUGAAAAGCACUUUGAAAAGAGAGUUAAAAAGCACGUGAAAUUGUUGAAAGGGAAGCGCUUGCGACCAGACUCGCUCGCGGGGUUCAGCCGGCAUUCGUGCCGGUGUAUUUCCCCGCGGGCGGGCCAGCGUCGGUUUGGGCGGUCGGUCAAAGGCCCUCGGAAGGUAACGCCCCUAGGGGCGUCUUAUAGCCGAGGGUGCAAUGCGACCUGCCUAGACCGAGGAACGCGCUUCGGCUCGGACGCUGGCAUAAUGGUCGUAAGCGACCCGUCUUGAAACAAACGG
rnacentral:rRNA from 1 species